rnacentral:lncRNA from 1 species
UUUUUUUUUUUUUUUUUGAGACAGAGACUGACAACCUCUCCCAGGCUGGAGUGUAGUGGCGCCAUCUCGGCUCACUGCAAGCUCCACCUCCUAGGUUCACACCAUUCUCCUGCCUCACUACAGGUGCCCGCCACCACGCCCGGCUAAUGUUUUGUGUUUUUAGUAGAGAUGGUGUUUCACCGUGUUAGCCAGGAUGGUCUCGAUCUCCUGACCUCAUGAUCCAUUGGGUCAUAAAACUUUAACAAAUUUAAAAGAAAUGAAAAUAUAUAGAAUGUGUUCUCUAAUCACAAUGAAAUAAAAUUAGAAUAACAAAAAGAUAACAGAAACAUCUCCAAACACUUGAAAGCAAAACCACAUCCAUAUAAAUAAUUCCUGGGUCAAAAAAGAAGUCUUAAGAGAAAUUUUUAAAAAUUCAUUGAAAUAAAUGAAAGUGCAGCAUGUCAAACUUUGCAGGAUACAACUAAAGCAGUACUUGGAGGUAUACCUCUGUCCUCUGAAUCCUCCGGCAUUUUUUAUGUUCCUUUUGCAAAACACUAAACUUUCUUUUUUAAAACCAUUAUUUGUACAUCUUUCUUCUUCCUUAGAUUGUGGCUGGAAACUAUCUUCCUUAUUUUUCUAUUCUAGCAUCUGGCUCAGUGCUCAGCAAAAGUUAUUUGAAUAAAUGAAUUACUGGACAGAGCAAGCUACUUAGCUAAAUGGAAUUGAGGCCAAACGAGUUCCUGCAUGAAGCUGGGAAGUGUUUUUGGUGAUCUUAUGCAAGGUGCCUGGGCCGUUACACAAUGGGGGCCACUGCACAGGCACAGUUCUGAGCAACUGCCUCAUUUGUCUCACAGAAGAGCCUCCCUGGAUUCAUAGCUGCCAAAAGUAGCAUUUGCCAAUAAACAAUGAAAGUAGAGAAAAUUCAACGUACGCAAUUCCGUAUCUCUGUCCAGUUUGGCAAAGAUUACUUCUUUAGUUAAUUAAAUCAGUUCUGGCCUCUGGCCUCCUCUUAUUCCCCUGCCUCAACUCUCCCAACUUUUCCCAUGCAUCUCUCCUUCCCCUGCUCUAUUCAUAGAACCAUAAAACCUCAAUUCAGAAGGACAAUAAAGGUCAUCUAGUGUGGCUUCCCACUUAAAAUCUAAAUACCCUAUAUUUAGUAUGGGGUUGAGCUGUAAGUUUUUCUCAGAACCAACUCAACUUGACCAUGUGCAGUAGGCUCAUGCCUGUAAUCCCAGCACUUUGGGAGGCUGAGGUGGGCCUGGAGGAGUACAAGACCAGUGUGGGCAACAUAGCGAGACCCUCUCUCUACAAAAAAUAAAAAAUUAGCCAGGUGAGGUGGUGCACACCUGUAGUUCCAGCUACUCGAGAGGCUAAGAGGCAGGAGAAUUGUUUGAGCCCAGGGGUUCAAGGCUGCAGUGAGCCAUGAUCACACCACUGCACUCCAGCCUGGGCG